UACGUAGGGGGCAAGCGUUGUCCGGAAUCAUUGGGCGUAAAGCGCGCGUAGGCGGCCCGGUAAGUCCGCUCUGAAAGUCCAGGGCUUAACCCUGGAAAGCGGGUGGAUACUGCCGGGCUAGAAUCCGGAAGAGGCGAGUGGAAUUCCUGGUGUAGCGGUGGAAUGCGCAGAUAUCAGGAGGAACACCAAUAGCGAAGGCAGCUCGCUGGGACGGUAUUGACGCUAAGGCGCGAAGGCGUGGGGAGCAAACAGG
rnacentral:rRNA from 1 species